rnacentral:rRNA from 1 species
GAUGAACGCUGGCGGCGUGCCUAAUACAUGCAAGUCGAGCGAACAGAUGAGGAGCUUGCUCCUCUGACGUUAGCGGCGGACGGGUGAGUAACACGUGGAUAACCUACCUAUAAGACUGGGAUAACUUCGGGAAACCGGAGCUAAUACCGGAUAAUAUAUUGAACCGCAUGGUUCAAUAGUGAAAGACGGUUUUGCUGUCACUUAUAGAUGGAUCCGCGCCGCAUUAGCUAGUUGGUAAGGUAACGGCCUACCAAGGCAACGAUGCGUAGCCGACCUGAGAGGGUGAUCGGCCACACUGGAACUGAGACACGGUCCAGACUCCUACGGGAGGCAGCAGAAGGGAAUCUUGCGCAAUGGGCGAAAGCCUGACGGAGCAACGCCGCGUGAGUGAUGAAGGUCUUCGGAUCGUAAAGCUCUGUUAUUAGGGAAGAACAAAUGUGUAAGUAACUAUGCACGUCUUGACGGUACCUAAUCAGAAAGCCACGGCUAACUACGUG